AUGAGACACCCCCAUGAUGGAGCCUCAUUCAGCGCCCCAGGCCCAAAUCGAGCCCCGGAAAGGCGCUGCUACCGGAGCCCCAUCACACCGCUCCAGACAGCAACCCCCCCAAAUGCAGCCCCCUCCCCAGCUGCGUGGCCCACAGAGACUGGCCUUAUAGCGCUCGAACCCCCCUCCCCGGCCCCAAAUCCAUCGCCCUCUCGCUGGUGGGGCCCUCGGGGCCCCCACCCGAGUGCCCGACCCGGCCACCGCAGCCGACAAUUGGGCCCCCAGCUGCGUGCCGACAGACCCCCCCACCCCAACGGCGAGCACCUCCCCCCACCCCCAGCCCCUCGCAGACGCCCCGGGGCGCUUACCUCGGAGCCGCGGGCGCCGCGAGUGCGCGGGAGGGAGCGCGAGGGCGGAGGGCGCGGGCGGGGGCCGUGCGCGCACCUGUCCCGCCGGCCGCUCAGCCCGGCAUCCCGGGGGGGGCGCUGGGGGCGCGCGCUCUCCCCGCCCCCGGGCCCGCGGCGCUGCGCGGGGGAGGGGGCUCAGCCCCGGUCCCCGGCGCGCUGGCGUCGGCUCCGGGGGGGGCGCUGCGCGGCGGCCGGACCGGGGGCGCGCCGCGGCCGCAUCUCCUCCGCCCGCCGCGGCCGCCGCUGCGACUCGCGGCUCCGCCACCUCCGCCCCCCCCCCCCCCCGCCCUCUUCGGCACCCCCCCCAAAGCCGGGCCGGAGCCGCGCAAAACCCGGCGCGGAGCGGAGGGCGGAGCCGGGUGGGCGGCCCGGAGGCGCUGGGCUGGAGGAGGAGGGUGGGGGAGGGAUGGGGGAGCGACCCGAGAAAAGGCGCUCUGCUUUUGUGCGCGGGGGCCGCCUAAUGGGUCCCCCUGACUUCCCGCCCCGGUCCACGCCGGCCACACCGCAUCCCAGGACCCAUCCCCCGUCAGCUCCCCCGGGGAGGAUGGCGAGGAUGCGCGCGCGCGUCAGGAGCCCCCGUGGUCCCCAUGGCCCCCUUCCUGCGUGA
rnacentral:lncRNA from 1 species